UGGUUUCCUCUGUAUUCUUUAUAUGAUGUUAUUUUGUGAUCCUUGAGUACGGAAAUAGCAUGGUGUGCAGCGUUGCCCUUGUGAGCAAUCUCUGAUGCUACUGAUGUUUAUAUAUGUAUUACUUAUGACACUAGGAUUCAAUCCUCACCGAAGAUUGAAUUCCAUCUUCUUGGUUAGAAUGCACAAAGGAUUUGAAUUGUGAAUCUUGCAAGGACAUUUAUUUUGUGAAAUUUAACAUGACUAAUUUGAGACCAGCAAAGAGGAUUGGGCCCGAAGAAAUGCUGAUAUUGAGCUAGGUUCGCAAGGCGAUAUGUCGAGCUCUGUGUAGCCUGCUUUCAAUGGCUUAUUUAAACAGGUGUCCCCUUUUCCUUUGUAUGUGUUUUCGAGUCUCAUUUCAUGUAAAAAUAGCCUGUAGAUGUCCUACGGUGUGAUUUUAUUUUUCGAGUUCAGCUCUGUGCUAUCAUAGAAUUCAGCUUAGGGAGAUCAAGAAGAUGUUUCAUAUGUCAGCACAACUACUGGAGGAUUUGCAGAGUGUACAUUGAUUCCAGUGUAGCAAGAACAGAAAAUAAGGUGUCGUCGGUGAAAAGAAGCAUGCCCAAAUUUGUAAGCCCAUAUUGGUAUUACUUUCCAGUAAUCAACAUCCAACAAAAUAUAUAUUUAUGAAUGAUCUAUUAUCUUGCCAUGAAUAACAAUGAUAAAUUUGUUGUUGACUCAUGUUAUAUCCUCACAAAUAAAGUGCCACAUGGAACUUUCUCUAUCAGUUCAGGCUGGAUGGGCAAGACGACAUACUGCAGACCGGGACCAAGAGUUAUGUUCAUUAUCAGUGAUAUGUGUUAAUACUCUCCUAGAGAUUGAUUUUUUUGCGAUCGCAAAAAAAGGAGCCAGAUACAUGGCGAGCUUCCAAAUAUCAAGUUGCAAGUACCUUCGUUGCUUUGGACCUUGCCAUGGAAGGAUGAACACUAAAUGACCACAAAAUGCCUCUAGAUUAUGAGUAAGCGUGUUUCUACCUUCAGCGGUUUGGGCAUCUGCUUUGUCUCUGUGGCUGGUUUCACGGGUA